rnacentral:tRNA from 1 species
GCCUGGCUAGCUUAGUAGAGCAUCAGACUCUUGGUCUGAGGGUCGUGAGUUCAAGCCCCACGGUGGGUA